GACAGAGGUGCCGAGCGUUAGGCGGAAUCACUGGGCUUAAAGCGUGUGUAGGCGGGUUCGUAAGUACGUUGUGAAAUCCCAUGGCUCAACCAUGGAACUGCUUGGUAUACUGCGGAUCUUGAGCCACCUAGGGGCAAGUGGAACAAACGGUGGAGCGGUGAAAUGCGUAGAUAUCGUUUGGAACGCCAAUGGUGAAAACAACUUGCUGGGGGUGUGCUGACGCUGAGACACGAAAGCCAGGGGAGCAAACGGG
rnacentral:rRNA from 1 species